UUGAAGUUGAAUAACUAUGGAGGACGUUGGAUGGAACUUAGCUCCUCUUCCUGCUGUAGGUGAUACUUGUUUUAGGAGGUUUGCCAUUGAACUCUUACUGGAUUGGGAAUUAUAGUGGCGGUACUAGGUUUCGAGUGGAGGAGGCUACUAGGUACACCACGAAGGUUUAUUUAUGGCUUAUGCUGGUUUUUCAGUGGGGAAGCUAUAUAGCUUGUCAUGCUUGGGUAAAACUUGAGUUGGACGACUUGAUUCCCGUCAGUUGCCGUCUGGGACAGGCUCCUUACGCUAAGGAAGAAGAAGAACAAGAAGAAAGCAAGCUCUGCUUGGCGAUGACCGUGAAGCUUCAAUAUGACCUCAAAGCAAGAUUCUGAAAGUCAGUCAAGUACCCGACGGCUCCGGUGUUCGAAGACCUCCACCACGAAUGACCACCCGUGAGGAUAACAACGACAUUCGACGAGCAGCAUAAGAAGAUCCUUUUACCAAUACUAUUGCUAUUUGUGAACGUCUGGCAUUAAAUGUUUAGGCUAUGACGGAGCGAAGACGUCUGCAUGAGGCAGGAAUACCUCAUAGAAUUCUUGCCAAGAAGGAAUUUCUCGGCAUCGUGAUGAUAGGCUUGCCUUCGUUCAAGGGUUUGUGGGGGAGGAUAUGGAAUUUUGGUCUCGAGUCGUAUGCAGUGACGAAAGGUCUUUUACUAGCAGAAGUCACGGCAGAAUACAUAACCGAAGACCGAGUAAUAUAAGAUACUACAGAAGAAAUUUACGAGGUGACCAGGAAUGGGCAUGUCACAGUAAACGUGUGGGGCUGGAUCUUCUUACAUUAUAUGGAUGAUAUCACCAGGAUUGAGUGAAGGCUCACUGGUGAAAAAUACAUUGAAAUUCUUCAGGAUUUCUAACUUCUUGCACUUCAACAGCGGAAUUAUUCCUCCCCACAUGCUCCUGUCAUUUUCAUUCACGACCGCUGCCCCAUCCAUACGGCCAGAAUAGUCCAGGAAUGGUUUCAAGGUCGAGAGGAUCUGCAGUUGCUUGACUGGCCAAGUAAGGAUACAGACAUGAACCUCAUUAAGAAUAUUUAGGCUAAUUUGGUAAAAUGUUGGGAGCCUGAGAGGGAGAGGAGACCAGAUCAACUUAUGAACCUCUGGGAACACAAUGGAAACUCUUCCACAACCGACCACAGAUCGUUAGAAACCAUAUUUCUUCUAUGCCUAACAGAUUGCAAGAGGUGAUCUAGAAGGAAGGUGGCUGGACUUCUCACUAAUAUUAAAAAUAAAUGUAAAAAUUGAGUGUAUAUAUUUGGAUUACCCCAUGGCUUCCGCUGAACUUCCAUGUCGUAUGAUGUAAAAGAAAACAAA